rnacentral:rRNA from 1 species
AACGAACGCUGGCGGCAGGCCUAACACAUGCAAGUCGAGCGGUUGAAGGGAGCUUGCUCCCUGAUUCAGCGGCGGACGGGUGAGUAAUGCCUAGGAAUCUGCCUAUUAGUGGGGGACAACGUUUCGAAAGGAACGCUAAUACCGCAUACGUCCUCCGAGAGAAAGAAGGGGACCUUCGGGCCUUCCGCUAAGAGAUGAGCCUAGGUCGGAUUAGCUUGUUGGUGAGGUAAUGGCUCACCAAGGCGACGAUCCGUAACUGGUCUGAGAGGAUGGUCAGUCACACUGGAACUGAGACACGGUCCAGACUCCUACGGGAGGCAGCAGUGGGGAAUAUUGGACAAUGGGCGAAAGCCUGAUCCAGCCAUGCCGCGUGUGUGAAGAAGGUCUUCGGAUUGUAAAGCACUUUAAGUUGGGAGGAAGGGUUGUAGAUUAAUACUCUGCAAUUUUGACGUUACCGACAGAAUAAGCACCGGCUAACUCUGUGCCAGCAGCCGCGGUAAAAC